rnacentral:lncRNA from 1 species
CUUACCCAACAGUUUUUAAGUGGGAGAGCCAGGACUACACUGGCCUGAUUUCUUGAGCCCCAUGAUCUCAACUGCUCUGCUACAGGAAGCUGUUAUUUUGCUUUGGCUUCCUAAGUGCCUUUUCAGAUAAGAGUGGUCAUUUGGGCUGCCCUGCAUAAUGGUGGAAAAUUCCACAAGUCUGAACAUCCAUGAUCUAGGCUUUCUGGACCAAGUCUUGUCGUAACCACUCUGCCUUUCUAUUUUGCCACCUCUGAAAAAGGAAUUCUGCUGGAAUCAUAAGUAAUAGCUAUGCGUGAAGUGCAUAGUCAUCAUGGUAUUGAUCAUCUCCCAAGCUGUUUUGGUUUGUCUGGGCUCUAAGGAUAGAAACCCAACCUUUUGCUUCUUUCACCAUCCUCCUUCAUUUUGUUCAUCAUAACAAGUUAACAUGAUAAAGGAGAGGCUGUUUUCUUCCUUUUCCUGUUGCAGAAGUGGAGGCUCGGAUAACAUCAAGCACCUUGCCCCAAGCUACAUAACCAAUUUCUUAACCUAUCAGAAUUUGUUUCCCUGCUGAAAAAUUGGAGAUAACAAUAUCCAACCCUUAGACGUGUUGUGAUCAUGUCUUUAAAGUUCAGAGCACUAAGGAUGGAUUUAGCAGACUGCAUCUGCCCUCACCAAUAAGUAGUUACAUCACACUGGGAAGCACAGCAUUUGAUAUGAAAGGAAGGAAGAAUGAACCCGUUUUACCAAGAGCUAAAAAUAAUUUCAGAGGGCUGGAGACAAAGCAGAGGUGAUGCCAACCAUUUCCUAGAACAGUUGACAAACUGACACUCUCCUACAAGCCAAUUUCACUCAUUUUCUUUUCUAUUUUUUUGUUUCCCGACUACUCUGGUUUUUUUUUUUUUUUUUUUUUUUUUCCUCUGGACAUGCUGGUGGGGAAGCCUCACAAAUUAAACUAGGAAAACUCUGGGCGUCCUGUCAUCUCAUCUUCAGCCUGAGGUUGUAUUUUCCCUUUUGCAAAGUCUUCACGUGGAGUCAGUGCAGCUGAUUAGAAGACCUAUUCCCGCAUGGGCAGCCUGGAGGUGCCCGGUUUUGAAACUCAGCAGCUCCACACAAAACAUGCCAUAUCUGUCAAGAGGCAAUGUAAUUUAUAGAUGCCCAGAAGCAAGGCAAAGAAGGCUGGCUAAGGGUCCUCAAGUGUUCCAGUUUUGAGCUUCCCCAACUCCUUCAUACCUCUGACAUC